GACAAACGCUGGCGGCAUGCCUAACACAUGCAAGUCGAACGGACAGAACAGGGAAGCUUUUCGGAGUGGAACUGGAAAGUUAGUGGCGGAUGGGUGAGUAACGCGUGGACAACCUACCUUGUAAAGGGGAAUAACCUCGAGAAAUCGAAGCUAAUACCCCAUAAUAACCUUGCUUCGCAUGAAGUAAGGAGGAAAGGCGGCCUUAGCGCUGUCGAUACCAGAUGGGUCCGCGUCUGAUUAGCUAGUUGGUGAGGUAAAGGCUCACCAAGGCGACGAUCAGUAGCCGGCCUGAGAGGGUGACCGGCCACAUUGGGACUGAGACACGGCCCAAACUCCUACGGGAGGCAGCAGUGGGGAAUCUUCCGCAAUGGGCGAAAGCCUGACGGAGCAAUGCCGCGUGAGUGAAGAAGGCCUUCGGGUUGUAAAACUCUGUCCUUAUCGAAGAGAGAGUGUUGUAGUAACUGACAAUACUAGGACGGUAGAUGAGGAGGAAGCCCCGGCUAACUAUGUG
rnacentral:rRNA from 1 species